UCCUCGGUGGCGCAAUUGGCUAGCGCGUCGUGAGUUAUAUCUUCAUGAUUGUACUGGGACAUAUAUAGUAACUAACAACAUUAAUAAUAGUGACUGUUAAUCAGGAGGUUGAAAGUUCGAGCCUUUCCCGGGGAG